CGAGCCGGCCCGCACGGCGCUGAGUGACCGGGAUCGGGACGGGACGGACCGAGGUGUCCCGGAGUCCCGGUGCUUUAGGGAGCCGGGUUGCGAUCGAGGAAGCCAGACUGGCCCGGGGGCGAUGGUGACUCGGGGCCCGGCCUCUGCUCCGCUCCGGGGGCAAGCAGGGUUAUAACGGAGCGGGCCGUGCCGCAGGGCGCUGAGCAGGCGCUCACUGUAGGCAACAGGGUCCUGCCACAGCCAGCCCCAAGGGGCUCGAGGGGGCCGGGCCAGGCUGCAAAGCACAGCUUUGCUGCACCGUGCUCUGCGGGCCGAUAGUGGGCAGGGCUGUGCUACCCAGCGCCCGGGAGAGCCCUUCCACAGGGGCUGGGCUGCCAGUCAUGGCCCGCAGUCAUCGGGACAGCCGUGCUCUGUGCGGGGGGCUGCGCUCAGCUGCAAGCUGGGGACACAACGGGGGCUGCUCCCUGCGGGGAGGGGCUCAGCGCCACCAGGAGCCCGAGGAGGGCCGUGGGGUCCCUGCCCGGCUCUUGGCAGCAAAGGCUUUGUGGGUGCAGGAGCAGCACGUGUGAGCACUUUUUCCUCUUGUUUCUCAGAUGCUUGCUCAGGUGCAUGACGACCCCCAAAAGUCUGACUCUUUUCGGAAGAGUGGCCAUGACAGGAAGGUGUCUGCAAGAGAGGCAAAGAAAAAGAAAGUCAUAUUCUGGGGCAUUGAGGUGCCUGAAAAACUCAGUUGGCAUGGCUGGGAAUGUGGAAAAGAGAUGAUCAAACACCUGACCUUGAAAAAUGUUCAUGGGAAAGCCCAGAAGCUGAGAUACAGAGCUCCUUCCACGCCAUUCUUCUUCACUGUUUUCCCACAGCCGAUUACUCUGAGCCCUGGUAUGUCUGUAACUCUGCCCAUCGUUUUCCGGCCCACUGAAAAGAGGGAUUAUAAAGACAACAUCUUCUUUAUGAAAGCUGAGGGUGAGUUCUCUGUUACCCUGCAUGCUGUGCUUCCCCGCUGCUGUCUGUCCAUCCCAGCCACUGUCCAGUUGCCUGUCUGUGCUGUCCACCAUCUUACAGUGGCGACGUUUCCUGUGUGCAACGUUGGGGAUCUAGUUUGCGUCUUUGCCUGGGAGACACCAAGCCCUUUCUUCAUGGUUCCUGACUGUGGCACACUGAAACCAGGUGCUAAGUGCAUGGUCAAGGUCGUCUUCCAGCCCAAGGUGGCUGGGGUGCAUGAUGCAGCAGCAACAUGCUGGUUUGGAGGUGAAGUGAAACAAAAGAGGACAAUCCAGCUAAAAGCCCUGGCCAAAUACCCCUAUUUGUAUGUCAGCGUGACAGGAAAGAAGUCUAAAGGUGUACAGCCUGGAAAGUUUCAAGAUGUCCUGUGUUUUGGAUCAGUACCAGUGGGGACAACUGUGGAGAAGUCUGUGGCAAUCUUCAACAUGUCUGUGGUUGAUGCACCAUGUAGAAUAGAACGAGUAGAAGACCCUCUGCCUUGUGAUUAUGUUUUCUCCUGUGAUGUGUCCCAUGGUGUUGUCCCUGCCAAAGGGAAGCUGGUCUUGUGCAUACGGUUCCAGCCUCAAGUAGUAGGAGCACACAGUACUGACUAUUUCACUAUCACAUCUAGUGGAUGCCUCUUAAAGACUGUUCUGAAAGUGGUUGGCUCAUGUAAAGGUCCUUCUGUGUCCCUGCACCAGUAUUCUGUGGAUUUUGACUGGAUCAAUCUUGGAGAAAGUUCAAUGCAGACACUGAAAAUCAGCAACACUUCAGAUGUCCCGGCCUAUUAUCAGUUUGAUAUUGAUUGCAAAGGGAGUGUCUUCUCCUUGGAUCGCCCCUGUGGGGUCUUGGAGGGCACAACAACACUAACACUGAAGGUGACCUUUCGACCUACUCACCCAAUGAAUUAUCACCGCAGAGUCGUGUGCCUUGUCCACCACCAGGAACCCAUGUAUGUGGACUUUUUUGGUACCUGCCAUUCAGACACAGCUAAGCCAACCACCCUUCAGGAAAGACACCUCUCCUGGUACCGAACCAACAUGGUGAGGGGUCUGACUUUCUACCCCCCUGAUAUCCUGAGUGUGAUGCUGAAGGAUGGGAAGUUGCAGAUGGAUGAAAAGGGAGCCCUCAUGCUGCCCCCUGAGGUUUCUGAGGACCAGCCACCCAAGGAAUACCUUGAACCCAAUGCCAUGACUGAAUAUUUCUAUGAUGAUGUAAGCAGAGACUUGGCCAUGUUUCCUGCUCAUGUUAGUGUCAGCCCCAGGGAGUAUGAUUUUGGAUACUGCAAUAUCAAUACAGAACCUCUUUCUCUCUGUGUGACCAACCACACCAAAGGAAGUAUCAUUGUUGCCUGGACUCCAAGCCAUGGCAGUGCCUUCCACGUGCAGCCCAAUAUCUGUGAUGUGCCACCACUGCAGUCUUCAACCUUCUCUGUCUUUUGCAAGCCCACUCAGGUCAACAGUCUUUAUGCAGCAGAGCUGGAAGGUUUUGCUGUUUACAAGGUGAUGAGACACUACACCAACAUUGAGAAUGAUGCCACCAUCUGUCCGUCGUGGUGCCUGACUGUGAGGCUGAGAGCACACACAUAUGAAGCAAAACAAGAGUACACCAUGCCACAGUACAUCCUGGAUGUCCCCGACACUUUUCCUCCUGUGGUUCAAGACACCGAUACCUACUGCAGCAUGCUGUUGUCCAACACAAGCACCUCUUUGACAACCUUCAGUGUGAACCAAACUGCCUGUCCCUCUGUUUUGGUCAAGCCCAGCUCAGGACACAUCAUUCCAGGAGGCCACCAGAUUUUCUUUCUCUCCACUCACCCAAUUAACACAGUUUUGCAGGAGCAUGUCCUACCUCUGGAGCUGAACUAUUAUCCUGCAUACACCAAGGAGAUUGUUCUCCAGAGUUGUGGGCAGUCCCUUCUUUUGCUCUUAGAAGGUAAUGGAAAUCUCUACUUCAAGCCUCUCCAGAUAGGGACCUCCUCUACACGAAUGUACACCAUUAAAAACUGCACAAGGCUACCUAUGGUUUUCACAUGGAAGAUCCAUAAAUCUGACAGUAAGAUCCUGUCUGUCAGCCCCACUACAGGGAUCCUCCAGCCCUGUGAAGCCAUGGCUCAGACAUGGACUUUUACUCCUGACAAAGAAACCAAGUAUCUGCUGCGAGCUAUGGUGUUUGUGAAGUGGAAAAGCCCAGAGCCUGUGUCUCCCAAAGAAGUCCAUUAUGUCUUACGGGUCAUUGGAGAAGGGGCCUUGGGCACCAUCAGGGCACAAAAGGAGCAUCUGGACCUUGGAAAUGUUUUAGUUGGUGAUCAAAAAAGCUGCAGCAUUGUACUGCUAAAUGAUGGGAUCUGUACUUUGAAUUACAUCCUCAGUGUGGAACAACUCAUCACGAGGCUCCAUGCCCCUGAGGAGGUCUGCAGCGAUCCACUGGCUCUAGAGCUGGAACACUCCAGAGGAGCAAUCCCUGCAAGAUCAAAAGCUUUUGUCCGAAUUAAAGUAAAGCUAGCCCGUCGGCUGCGUUACACCUGGUCAAUCAAAUAUGCUAUUUGCACACCCAGAGAUGCAGAUCUUGCAAGCACAAAAGAGAAGCAGCAGCCCCUCUGCCGCAUUGAAGCAACAGGCGUCUACCCAACUUUGCACAUCUCAGAUGCUUGUACAACAGGGAUUGCCAGCAGUAUCAGCAAGUUGCACCUCUGGAAGCUCUUCUCCUUGGACAUACUGAAUGAAUUCUUGGAGCGAGACCCAGCUCCUGGCGAGCUCACCUACAAAGUUCCCACAAGGCACAGCACAUGCUUGAUCCCUCCAGUGUAUACCCCUCUCCUGCUGGAUUUUGACUUCGGGUCUGCCCCGAUAGGCUCAGAGCCUACCAUUGUGACACUUCUGCUGGAGAACAAGGGUGUGGUACCUGUGGACUGGGCCUUCUUGUUUCCUUCUGAUCAGAAGAUGGACAUGGGACACUGGGCAGAAGAUGUUGACUUUACCCCCCAGGAGCUGCACCAGAUGAGAAUUCAAGAUAACCAGCUUUUCAGAGUUUCCCCGAAGUCAGGAACACUUCUUCCAGGGCAGGAGAAAUCUGUCCAGCUCUCACACAGACAUGAUUUCAUUGGCACUGAUCGCCUCCCUGUCCUGCUGAAGAUUUCCUAUGGCCAUGAGGUUCUGCUGACUUUCAGCAGUGUGACAGUGGAACGCGACCAGCCGUACGUUCACUUUGCAACCACUAAGCACUUCUUCGAAUCCACUGCUAUUGGAGGCUCCCACGCCCCCAUACAGAUUUAUAAACUCUACAAUGGUGGCUCCAUGCCCGUGACAUUUGAGGUUCAGCAGGACAACAUUGUGAAGAUACAGGAGAAGAAUUUUCAGCAUCCUGUGUUUGUCUGCCUAACUCCUAGAGGAGAAAUUCCCCCUGGUGAAACAGGCCACAUUGAAUGGAUCUUCUCACCACUGGAAGCUAAAACAUACACGGUUGAUGUUCCCAUCCACAUCCUGGAGGGUGAGUCGACCCAGAUUACCUUCCAGGGAGUAGGCUACAAUCCAAAUAUUGUAGGAGAGGCUGCCAUAGCUGGCAAAUUUUGUUCUUCUGCAGUCAUUCCAGGUUCUGCCAAGCUAACUAUGCCUGGGCAGACAGCCACCUUGUCCCAUCACAGGAUUUGCCUUGGAAAUAUCCCAGAUUGCACCAAAGCUGGUCGACUUGUCUUUCUCAGCAAUAUCUCGAAGAGCAAGGCAGUGGUGUUUACCUGGCAGAUCAGCGCCUAUAAAGAAAAGGUGUUGGAGAUUGCUCCAGAGUCGGGGGUUGCGCAGCCUGGAGAGAGUAUCCCCUGCUUCAUCACACUGCAACCUACAAGGAGUCCCUCCUUCUGCAGAAUAAAUCUGAUGUGUGAGGUGAACACCCAGGAGUCCCUGGCUCAGUAUGAGAGGGAACUGCAGGAGUGGGAAAAGGAGAAGGAACGGCAGGCAGUGGAAUUCACCAUCACAGAGAAGGACCUUGGGAGUAAGAAGAAGCUAACGUCACCUUCAGUGAGGUUAUCAUAUUCUGCUGGAACAGAAAAUCUUCCUGAAUCCUCAACUGUGAUCAGGAAAUCCAAGACAUUACCCCCUAUUAAAAGCCACCCUACACCCAGUCAGCCACGUGGACACACUGAGAGGGGGCUGCUGUUGGACAAAGACGCCAGCCAGGAGUGGGUCAAACCAGAGCCUCCCAUGCCCUUGCUCUUACACCUUGAUGUGUCAGCCAGGUCCUACGCUAUUGAGGAAUUUCUCAGCAAGUUCGCCUUGGAUCUUCCCAGAUACUUCCUGUUCCACCCUUGCAGCACCCAGCCCUCAGAGAGUGAAUUUGUGGAUGGAAGUAGUCACAGAAACAGGACGGACAUGGAGCCCAAACAGCUGUUCCUGGCUUCUGCUUCUAAACAGGAGCUGGAGUUGGUGACUGACAUACUCACAGGCCUCAUCAGAAGCCUCUUGGAGAACGGCCACUUCCAGAAGUUAGUGAGAAAAAUCCAAAAUGAGCCCAUUCCAUAUUUCUCCCAGUUCCAGUCUACAAAAUCAGCAGAGCUCCAGGACAAUAGACAGGGCUCCACGAUCCCCUCCAGAGUCUCUGCUUCAACAGAUCUUGACCUUGAGAAGGAUGGAGAGAGGGAAAAACUUACCCAGGAAACCUCUCCCAGUGAUUUGCUGGAGUCUGGCGAGACUUUUCACCAUAAGCAGUUGAAGGGAAAGGAGAUAAUAAGUAGGCAGCCAGCUGUUGGGAACCUUGUGGAGAUGGUACUGGAAAACACACUGCAGAAUAUCCUGAUUGAAGCCAGCCGUGGGGAGGUGGUGCUGACAGCCCGGCCCAGGGUCAUUGCUUUACCACCUAACCCCUCCCGAAGAAUCACCAGCCCGGCACCCCCGCCCUCCAGAGAGUAGCUGCUGGGUACUAUGCUGCUCAAGUUCUUCAAGCACAUCAGCUCUCUCCAUUCUUCAUCCCUGUGAUGUCCAGAGCAACUUGGAUGCUCCUGCACCAUGACCUUAGCUCAGCAUGCUGCCUUUCUCUGAGGAGGUUUGUCUGGAUUAUGUUCUCAGCACCAAUUUGAGACAAUUCCACGGCAGAGUUCAUGAGAUCUCUCCUUUCUGUGGCUGGCCACGUCAUCAGAGAAGAAGCCUAUGCUACAGGGAGCGCAUGGACAACCACUGUGACAAUUCCCACUACCCUCAGUCUGUACCAGCUGAGAGGAGGGGAAUCUGCUUUGAAAUGUAGCUGAGGAAGGACUGACAUCUGGGCAAUGAGGUGAUGACAUCAGUAGGAUGCAGUGCCAGGACCCAGCCAAGACCAGAGCUGCAUCUUCUUCCCUCGCAUCCUGAGAGAACACCGUGCAGAAGGCGCUGUGGAGGGCUUUUGCCCAGCUCAGCAGAGAGCAGUUGCCUGCCAUGCCUGGGGUACUGCGGCUCACCCAGCUUCCCCCCAGAACUCAUCUCUGUGCAUGUGUAAUCAUUACUAAGCCCCAGGGCUGAGCUGUUCCUGUUGUCAGACAUACAGUAGAGGCACUGCCAGCUCCUGAACUCAGCCUGGGUGCCUUGGGCCUUCACAUGGAUCCUGGAUCCUUCUCGUGAGAAGUGCAAACCCUCUCUUCCCUUCCCAAUACUCUGCGUGCCAGGUCUCCUUCGUCACAGAAGUCUUUCUGUAUUCUUCUGGGCUUUGACUAGUGCUGAAGAGGUAAUGCGGAAUCCCUUCCUUCCUCCACAGCUCAAGGCAGCAGCAGGGCCUGGCUGUUCAGUCCACUUGGACUGAUUCUUCUUGGUCCAGGCUCCUCGCUAGGAUUUGCUCACUGCAGAUCCUCUGUAGUCCUACAACAAAGUUCCCAAAUGAAUAGAAAAGGCAGAGGCAGAAAUCUCUGUUGCCCUAAAGCAGGUUGAAUCCAGCUAUCCAAGGGCAGCAUGGAGCAGUGAAGACACAGUCAAUCAGUUUGUCCAUCCUCAGACCUGCUGUGUGAUCUAGUGCUCUUUAGGCUGCAUAACUGCAGCUGCAUCAUUGUAUCCACUACCUGGAGGAGUUAACAUGGGAAAUGCUGUUUGUUAGUCUGGUGUAACACCCAAAAACAAAUUUAGAGAGCCUGAGUGCCGUCAAAUGUGCAGGGAAUAUUUUUUUGCUAUUAAAAAAAAAAGUUGCUAUUCUCCCCACUCCCCUGUGCUCCCAGCCUGGACCUGGAGAACACAGAACUCACACUGUACUUGCCUGUUGGAGCAUUAUUAGAGGGAAAUUCACUUGUUUGCUAAGUAUCACUCUAGUAGGACAGAUCUCAAAGAUGAUGUCUUAAAAAACAAGUGAGUCAGGGAAAUAGAUUUGAGAGCUAUUUACACCUGUGAGAGAGAAAUUUUUCUUCUCUCAGCUCUUUUUAGAUUCUGAGAUGGUGGUGUGUCACCUCUGUUGUAGUCGUCUCUGAUGCCUGUCAAGCAGAACCACUCUGAGUGCACUAAGCAAAGAGAGUAGCAGCUCUCACACAUUUUUCUUCUUUUAUCCUCAUCCUAAAGUAUAAAUACACGAGGAACAGCCGCUUUCCCAGGUUGGGGAAAUUCCCAGUCUCUCUUCUCAGACUGUGAACUAGACCCUAACCCUGGUUUUGGAAAACAUUUUAAUGUGUGACCGAGCCACAUCACUGUUCUGUUAGCAAAGAGAGACAGCAGCACUCCCAGAUAGUGCUGGGGGUGAGCUCUGCAUAGUGUGGAGCCUACAGUGUGGAUGUUCUCACCUGGGGGCUUCUCUCUCACUUGGAUCUUUGGGACAAUGGGGAGGGGAGAACUGGCAGGGAGGGACUUUCCCUUUUCAAGAGGUUUUGUUGGUACCCACUGCCAAGGGCAAUGAACUUGUGGGACUAUAGUAGGCCCAGACUCACAGCCCUGCUCAGCUCCCAAAAGAGGGAGGAUAUCCUGUUUCUGUUAAUGACAUUUGGGUCUCAGGCAGGAGGAAGUUUGAGCUUGUACUGUCUCCCAGGGCUGGAUUUGGCUCCUGCUCAACAGUGCUACGUUUCUAAUGAACAUCUCUCCAACAGAAAUAUUGUAGGUACAGGUCCCGCUUCUUCCCACUGGUGUCUGGGUGGUGAAAUGGGUGAUGUUCCCACGGGGCAGGGGUUGGUAGCCAGGCCAGGCUCCUGGCAGGUAUAUAGCUGAGCACAAGCUUGGCAGGCUAAUGGGACUCCCCCUCUCCUUGUGUGAAUUAUCGGGAGCGCUCAGUCACCAGGCAGUUAACGCAACACACAACAGGCACUUUCUUCUUGGCUGCUACUCCUGGCUCCCAGGGAGGAGUGAAAUGGCCUUGGGGCAGGUGGGCAACAGAAGCUAUCCUGAAUCCCAUUAAAACAUUUAACACCUGCUGAAUCGUGCCAU